rnacentral:misc_RNA from 1 species
UACGGAGGGGGCUAGCGUUGUUCGGAGUCACUGGGCGUAAAGCGCACGUAGGCGGCUUGGCAAGUUGGGCGUGAAAGCCCGGGGCUCAACCCCGGAGGUGCGCCCGAGACUGCUGAGCUGGAGGCCGGGAGAGGGCGGUGGAAUUCCCAGUGUAGAGGUGAAAUUCGUAGAUAUUGGGAAGAACACCGGUGGCGAAGGCGACCGCCUGGCCCGGACCUGACGCUGAGGUGCGAAAGCGUGGGGAGCAAACAGG